CCUACGGGUGGCAGCAGUGGGGAAUAUUGCACAAUGGGGGAAACCCUGAUGCAGCGACGCCGCGUGAGUGAAGAAGUAAUUCGUUAUGUAAAGCUCUAUCAGCAGGGAAGAAAAUGCUGGUACCUGUGUCAGAAGCCCCGGAUAACUACGUGCCAGCAGCCGCGGUAAUACGGAGGGGGCAAGCGUUAUCCGGAUUUACUGGGUGUAAAGGGAGCGUAGACGGCUGUGCAAGUCUGGAGUGAAAGGCGGGGGCUCAACCCCCGGACUGCUCUGGAAACUGUACGGCUGGAGUGCAGGAGGGGUAAGUGGAAUGCCUGGUGUAGCGGUGAAAUGCGUAGAUAUUAGGAGGAACACCGGUGGCGAAGGCAGCUUGCUGGAC
rnacentral:rRNA from 1 species